UGCUGAGGCGUCUGAGGCUUUGGUAUUUGCCAUGGCUGCUGAGGCGUCUGUGGGUUUGGUUUUUGCGGUGGCUGUUGUGGCUGCUGAGGCUGCUGAGGCGUCUGAGGCUUUGUUAUUUGCCAUGGCUGCUGAGGCGUCUGUGGGUUUGGUUUUUGCGGUGGCUGCUGUGGCUGUUGUGGCUGCUGAGGCUGCUGAGGCUUCUGAGGAUUUGUUAUCUUCCAUGGCUGCUGAGGCUGCUGUGG